GAAGGUAUGAUGGGUCUACAGAA
rnacentral:sRNA from 1 species